rnacentral:rRNA from 1 species
GUCCACGCCGUAAACGAUUGGUGCUAGGUGCCGGGGGGAGCGACCCCUUCGGUGUCGCAGCUAACGCGUUAAGCACCCCGCCUGGGGAGUACGGCCGCAAGGCUGAAACUCAAAGGAAUUGACGGGGGCCCGCACAAGCGGUGGAGCAUGUGGUUUAAUUCGAAGCAACGCGAAGAACCUUACCUGGGCUUGACAUCCACGUGAAACCCUCUAGAAACAGGGGGCCUUCUUCGGAACUCGUGGACAGGUGCUGCAUGGCUGUCGU